AACGAACGCUGGCGGCAUGCCUAACACAUGCAAGUCGAACGAGACCUUCGGGUCUAGUGGCGCACGGGUGCGUAACGCGUGGGAACCUGCCCUUAGGUUCGGAAUAACUCCCCGAAAGGGGUGCUAAUACCGGAUAAUGUCUUCGGACCAAAGAUUUAUCGCCUUUGGAUGGGCCCGCGUUGGAUUAGCUAGUUGGUAGGGUAAAAGCCUACCAAGGCGACGAUCCAUAGCUGGUCUGAGAGGAUGAUCAGCCACACUGGGACUGAGACACGGCCCAGACUCCUACGGGAGGCAGCAGUGGGGAAUAUUGGACGAUGGGCGAAAGCCUGAUCCAGCAAUGCCGCGUGAGUGAUGAAGGCCUUAGGGUUGCAAAGCUCUUUUACCCGGGAUGAUAAUGACAGUACCGGGAGAAUAAGCUCCGGCUAACUCCGUG
rnacentral:rRNA from 1 species